rnacentral:sRNA from 1 species
CCGUCUUUCUAAAUUUACGAAUAAAAACUACGUCCCUCUCACAGCUACGGCAUAAUUAAUUACCCCUUGCCUCCUACUUUCUCCUCUCCUCAGGCUUCCACGUCGUUUCAACCUCAAAUGAAUCCUUCCUAAGUUCCUCCCAGUCCAGCCUCCCCCACCUCUCCGGCCUCUCCAACGCAUCCACAAAAUGCUUCAUAGCCAACACAGCCUGACCCGCCCACCUCUCCUUACUGACCUUCCCUACCCCAACCGCCAACGGGGGCAUUAAGAUCCUAUCAAUCCUCCUCCUCCUGGCUUUCUCCCCCCUCUCCUCCCCGCCAUCCCCUUCCUCUCUGACCUCUCGAUUCCACCUCUCUACCUCCCCCAUCAACGACCACACACACUUAUAAACAACCUCCCGAUCCCACACCACAUUCUCCGGCAUACGCAUCGUCGGACACAGAGCCACCCACCUACAGCCCCCCAGCGCCUUUCCCGCAUUCACUAUCUCCUCCGGAAACGGUACCAGCGUGCAGGUGCCCGGCGGCGCAUAACCGCGCCAGCGCUCGUAGAGCGUUUUCUGCGCAGCACGCGUUAAGGUGAGGUACGGGUGGUCGGGCAGACAGAAGGUGCGGGAGAUGGCGUCGUCGAAGGCGCCGUCAAGACGGCCAUAGGAAUUGGCGGGGGAAACGACCAGGUCGAAGGGUUGGGUAUGUGGGACGGUGUUAAGGCGUUCAUUGAGGGGGACUAUUUUGAUCUUUUGCUCGGCUUGUUGGGUCGGUUGGGGGGAGGUGGUGGUGGAUGAAGAAGGGGAGAAGAAGGUGACCGCAGGCCAGUACUUGCGGAGGGCGUCCUGGAAGGCAACUAUGUUUUCCUUUUCUCUGCAAAGGAGGAGGAUUUCAGGG